rnacentral:ribozyme from 1 species
UGCCCAGCAACUCCUAUUCCUACCCCCUCGCGGUACCGGCCGGAAACUGAGCAACCUUAGGGAAGAUCGGGUAACCAACCCCGGUGGGAACUUUGGGGGGGGG